rnacentral:rRNA from 1 species
CCUACGGGAGGCAGCAGUGGGGAAUUUUGGACAAUGGGCGAAAGCCUGAUCCAGCCAUGCCGCGUGAGUGAAGAAGGCCUUCGGGUUGUAAAGCUCUUUCAGACGGAAAGAAAUUGCUUCGGUGAAUAUCCGGAGUAGAUGACGGUACCGUAAGAAGAAGCACCGGCUAACUACGUGCCAGCAGCCGCGGUAAUACGUAGGGUGCGAGCGUUAAUCGGAAUUACUGGGCGUAAAGGGUGCGCAGGCGGUUAUAUAAGACAGAUGUGAAAUCCCCGGGCUCAACCUGGGAACUGCGUUUGUGACUGUAUAACUAGAGUACGGUAGAGAGGGGUGGAAUUCCUGGUGUAGCAGUGAAAUGCGUAGAUAUCAGGAGGAACAUCGAUGGCGAAGGCAGCCCCUUGGACCUGUACUGACGCUCAUGCACGAAAGCGUGGGGAGCAAACAGGAUUAGAUACCCUGGUAGUCCACGCCCUAAACGAUGUCGACUAGUUGUUCGGGAAGGUGACUUCUUGAGUAACGUAGCUAACGCGUGAAGUCGACCGCCUGGGGAUCGGUGCAGAUUAAAACGUCAAAGUAUAGUAGACGNGAGAGAGACGACGAGACGACGAGGAGGAGG